rnacentral:rRNA from 1 species
UACGUAGGGGGCUAGCGUUGUCCGGAAUCAUUGGGCGUAAAGAGCGUGUAGGCGGCCCGGUAAGUCCGCUGUGAAAGUCGGGGGCUCAACCCUCGAAUGCCGGUGGAUACUGUCGGGCUAGAGUGCGGAAGAGGCGAGUGGAAUUCCUGGUGUAGCGGUGAAAUGCGCAGAUAUCGGGAAGACACCCGUGGCGAAGGCGGUUCUCUGGGACGGUACUGACGCUGAGACGCGAAAGCGUGGGGAGCGAACAGG